AAAAAUUUACCCCAAAUUUCUGAACAAAAUUAAUAUUCAGUAUUAUAUCUAGCCUAUAGAUUCUCUUACUCUUGGUGUAAUGACAGCAUUCCCAGUUUAGGAAACUGUUUUAAAAUCUUGUGUCUUGGUUGUGGCUGAGGCUUUGGGAAGGCCAGAGCCUCCUUUGCCACUACCCCUAGGGUGUCAGCUCCAGGCCUGGGCCUAAGGGUUUGAUGGGGAGCGGGUGAGCUGGAUCCUGAUCCCAGUGGUCAGUGGCCAGAUCCUGGGCUGCUGGCCAGAACCCUGGCUUUGUGAGUGGCUGUAGCUUGGCUCUGCUCCAACCCACAGGGGCUAAAGGGGUGGGUAGGGAGCGGGUAGGGAGCGUGUACGUGGCUUUGUGUCCUUGGCUCCUCCAGACUCUCACAUGUGCAGGCACCAUAUACUUCUGCUGCCCUUUUGCCCUAAUCAUUGCACAAACAGAAACAGCUCUGACAGAGAAGGGACUGCUAGUUAGGAACCCUAGGGCCUGGAAGGAAGGUAUGGCUCUCAGAGUGACCUGGGGUCUAUUCAGUCCCCUCUGGACCUGUUUCCCUGGCAACGCUGUGGGAACAACAGUCUAUGCGACACAGGAGAUCUGAUGCCACCUGGUGUUCUCCAAAUUUUAAGGUGAAGGCAGGGAUUGUGAAUGAUACAGGGAUGGCCAGAAUGGUUUUUGCCUUCGUUCUUUUCCCAGGGGAACCAAGCCUGUGGGUAGGGAAAUCACAGUGGACAGUGACUGAAUCUGGCCCAGGAGAAACUUGGCUGCCUGCCUUCCAGGCCAGGGUUUUUCUUCCUUGAGAUCCUGGAGGGGAAGUACCUGGAACUUGGGAGUGUUGCCCUGGUCUGGAAGAUCUGAUAGACAUAGUAUGCACACAUUUCCCUCGAGCUUCCCAUGACUGGGAACUAGAUGAGAACCCUGAGUGGGUGGCUGGUUUCUUGAGGCAUACGUAUACCCGACACGCCUUACACCUCUGACUUGGCUGCAUUUUGGAAUCAUCUGGGAAGUUUUAAACAAUACUGAUGCCUAGGUCCAACCUCCAGAGAUUCUGAUUUAAUUGGUAUGGGGUGGGGUUUUGCAGUUUUCAAACCACAAUAUCCAGCAAAGUUUGAGAACCACUGCCCUACACAGCCCUCCUUCUUCUUUAUCUUAUCUGGAGUCAGGGGCACCUUCAGCUUCUCCAAUCACCUGGCCAGUGGCUCUUGUUUCCAGUCCUGCUGUUCCAGGGUGGAUAGGCCUUCAGGCGGAGACCCAGGAAUCCAGCUCCAGACUCUGUCCCAGGCAGCCUCUUCAGUCCCGGACGGGACAGGAAGUGUCCGGCGGAGGUGGGGGUGGAGGUGAUUGGCAGUUGGAGUCUCCAAUGGGCCAGGAGCCCCCCUAUUUCACUCCUCUCCUUCCAUUGGCGCCUGGGCGGAGCCGCCCCCGCUGCGGGGGCCCAGGGCGGGAGGGAGUAGAGGCCGGGGCAGAGGGCGAGGGCAGAGGGCGCUGGCGGCAGCGGCCGCGGAAGAUGAGCAGCAGCUGCUCAGGGCUGAGCAGGGUCCUGGUGGCCGUGGCUACAGCCCUGGUGUCUGCCUCCUCCCCCUGCCCCCAGGCCUGGGGCCCCCCAGGGGUCCAGUAUGGGCAGCCCGGCAGGUCCAUGAAGCUGUGUUGUCCUGGAGUGACUGCCGGGGAACCAGUGUCCUGGUUUCGGGACGGGGAGCCAAAGCUGCUCCAGGGACCUGACUCUGGGCUAGGGCAUGAACUGGUCCUGGCCCAGGCAGACAGCACUGAUGAGGGCACCUACAUCUGCCGGACCCUGGAUGGUGCACUUGGGGGCACAGUGACCCUGCAGCUGGGCUACCCUCCAGCCCGCCCUGUUGUCUCCUGCCAAGCAGCCGACUAUGAGAACUUCUCUUGCACUUGGAGUCCCAGCCAGAUCAGCGGUUUACCCACCCGCUACCUCACCUCCUACAGGAAGAAGACAAUCCUAGGAGCUGAUAGCCAGAGGAGGAGUCCAUCCACAGGGCCCUGGCCAUGCCCACAGGAUCCCCUAGGGGCCGCCCGCUGUGUUGUCCACGGGGCUGAGUUCUGGAGCCAGUACCGGAUUAAUGUGACUGAGGUGAACCCACUGGGUGCCAGCACACGCCUGCUGGAUGUGAGCUUGCAGAGCAUCUUGCGUCCUGACCCACCCCAGGGCCUGCGGGUAGAGUCGGUACCAGGUUACCCCCGACGUCUGCGAGCCAGCUGGACAUACCCUGCCUCCUGGCCGCGCCAGCCCCACUUCCUGCUCAAGUUCCGUUUGCAGUACCGUCCGGCUCAGCAUCCAGCCUGGUCCACGGUGGAGCCAGCUGGACUGGAGGAGGUGAUCACAGAUGCUGUGGCUGGGCUGCCCCAUGCUGUACGAGUCAGUGCCCGGGACUUUCUAGAUGCUGGCACCUGGAGCACCUGGAGCCCGGAGGCCUGGGGAACUCCGAGCACUGGGACUGUACCAAAGGAGAUACCAGCUUGGGGCCAGCUACACACGCGGCCAGAGGUGGAGCCUCAGGUGGACAGCCCUGCUUCUCCAAGGCCCUCCCUCCAACCACACCCUCGGCUACUUGAUCACAAAGACUCUGUGGAGCAGGUAGCUGUGCUGGCAUCUUUGGGAAUCCUUUCUUUCCUGGGACUGGUGGCUGGGGCCCUGGCACUGGGGCUCUGGAGACUGAGAUACCCCACAUUGUUGGAGAGACAGCUGCCUUUCUAUGCCCCAGGCUGAGGCUGAGACAGGGCGGGAAGGAUGGAUCCCCAAAGCCUGGGUUCUUGGCCUCAAUGAUUCCAAUGGACAGGCAUCCAGGAGCUCCAAACCUGUAAGAGGACCCAGGAGGGCUUCGGCGGUUUCCACCUAUAAUUCUGUCUUGCUGGUGUGGAUGGAUGGACAGAUAGAAACCAGGCAGGACAGUAGAUCCCUAUGGUUGGGUCUCAGCUGGAAGUUCUGUUUGGAGCCCAUUUCUGUGAGACCCUAUAUUUCAAAUUUGCAGCUGAAAGGUGCUUGUACCUCUGAUUUCACCCCAGAGUUGGAGUUCUGCUUGAGGAACGUGUGUAAUGUGUACAUCUGUGUCCAUGUGUGACCAUGUGUCUGUGAGGCAGGGAACAUGUAUUCUCUACAUGCAUGUAUGUAGGUGCCUGGGGAAUGUGUGUGGGUCCUUGGCUCUUGGCCUUUCCCCUUGCAGGGGUUGUGCAGGUGUGAAUAAAGAAAAUAAGGAAGUUCUUGGAGAUUAUACUCAGA